GACGAACGCUGGCGGCGUGCUUAACACAUGCAAGUCGAACGGAAAGGCCCUGCUUUUGUGGGGUGCUCGAGUGGCGAACGGGUGAGUAACACGUGAGUAACCUGCCCUUGACUUUGGGAUAACUUCAGGAAACUGGGGCUAAUACCGGAUAGGAUCUCCUGCUGCAUGGUGGGGGUUGGAAAGUUUCGGCGGUUGGGGAUGGACUCGCGGCUUAUCAGCUUGUUGGUGGGGUAGUGGCUUACCAAGGCUUUGACGGGUAGCCGGCCUGAGAGGGUGACCGGCCACAUUGGGACUGAGAUACGGCCCAGACGCAUACGGGAGGCAGCAGUGGGGAAUAUUGCACAAUGGGCGGAAGCCCGAUGCAGCAACGCCGCGUGCGGGAUGACGGCCUUCGGGUUGUAAACCGCUUUCGCCUGUGACGAAGCGUGAGUGACGGUAAUGGGUAAAGAAGCACCGGCUAACUACGU
rnacentral:rRNA from 1 species